UCGCCUUCAUUUAUUCGGUGGCGCAUUCUCAUUGGAUGCUGGCGCGCGGGAAACACAAUUUAAACAUUGGCCAGGCGAAACGAAGAUCAAACGCGUGUUCAUCGUCAUCCUCAACAAACAACACAACAGAAUUUCCAGAAAAUGAAGAACAACAAAUCUCAACCAAAAUUGACAAACUAUAUAUCAUUAGAACCGUAUGAUCAUGCACAUCACGAAUAUACAAUUUGUUUAACCUAAUUCUUAACAUGUUAUCCGGAUCGAACAAAAAUAGAUUUCACAUAAAAAG
rnacentral:lncRNA from 1 species